rnacentral:rRNA from 1 species
AACGAACGCUGGCGGCAGGCUUAACACAUGCAAGUCGAACGCCCCGCAAGGGGAGUGGCAGACGGGUGAGUAACGCGUGGGAAUCUACCCAGUUCUACGGAACAACUGAGGGAAACUUCAGCUAAUACCGUAUACGCCCUACGGGGGAAAGAUUUAUCGGAAUUGGAUGAGCCCGCGUUGGAUUAGCUAGUUGGUGGGGUAAUGGCCUACCAAGGCGACGAUCCAUAGCUGGUCUGAGAGGAUGAUCAGCCACACUGGGACUGAGACACGGCCCAGACUCCUACGGGAGGCAGCAGUGGGGAAUAUUGGACAAUGGGCGCAAGCCUGAUCCAGCCAUGCCGCGUGAGUGAUGAAGGCCUUAGGGUUGUAAAGCUCUUUCAGUGGGGACGACAAUGACGGUACCCACAGAAGAAGCCCCGGCUAACUUCGUGCCAGCCGCCGCUGUAA